rnacentral:rRNA from 1 species
AAGUCGUAACAAGGUCUCCGUUGGUGAACCAGCGGAGGGAUCAUUACAGAGUUGCAAAACUCCCACAAACCAUCGCGAAUCUUACCCGUACGGUUGCCUCGGCGCUGGCGGUCCGGAAGGCCCUCGGGCCCCCCGGAUCCUCGGGUCUCCCGCUCGCGGGAGGCUGCCCGCCGGAGUGCCGAAACCAAACUCUUGAUAUUUUAUGUCUCUCUGAGUAAACUUUUAAAUAAGUCAAAACUUUCAACAACGGGUCUCUUGGUUCUGGCAUCGAUGAAGAACGCAGCGAAAUGCGAUAAGUAAUGUGAAUUGCAGAAUUCAGUGAAUCAUCGAAUCUUUGAACGCACAUUGCGCCCGCCAGUACUCUGGCGGGCAUGCCUGUUCGAGCGUCAUUUCAACCCUCAAGCCCUGCUUGGUGUUGGGGUCCUACGGCUGCCGUAGGCCCUGAAAGCUAGUGGCGGGCUCGCUAUAACUCCGAGCGUAGUAGUAAAAUAUCUCGCUAGGGGGGUGUCGCGGGUUCCGGUCGUGAAAGCCCAUCUUUUACACACAAGGUUGACCUCGGAUCAGGUAGGAAUACCCGCUGAACUUAA